AACGCACAUUGCGCCCAUUAGUAUUCUAGUGGGCAUGCCUGUUCGAGCGUCAUUUCAACCCUUAAGCCUUCUGUUGCUUAGCGUUGGGGGCCUACCGUAUGGCGGUAGCCCCUUAAAAUUAGUGGCGGAGUCGGUUCACACUCUAGACGUAGUAAAUAUUAUCUCGCCUAUUAGUUGGACCGGUCCCCUGCCGUAAAACCCCUAAUUUAUCAAGGUUGACCUCGGAUCAGGUAGGAAUACCCGCUGAACUUAA
rnacentral:misc_RNA from 1 species